GCUCAAGAAGCUGAUAAGCAAUUAGCCUGCAAAGCUAAUUUUAGGAGUAUUAACUCCCUUGGGUU
rnacentral:tRNA from 1 species